rnacentral:rRNA from 1 species
AAAUUGAAGAGUUUGAUCAUGGCUCAGAUUGAACGCUGGCGGCAGGCCUAACACAUGCAAGUCGAACGGUAACAGGAAGAAGCUUGCUUCUUUGCUGACGAGUGGCGGACGGGUGAGUAAUGUCUGGGAAACUGCCUGAUGGAGGGGGAUAACUACUGGAAACGGUAGCUAAUACCGCAUAACGUCGCAAGACCAAAGAGGGGGACCUUCGGGCCUCUUGCCAU